UACGAAGGGGGCUAGCGUUGCUCGGAAUCACUGGGCGUAAAGGGUGCGUAGGCGGGUCUUUAAGUCAGGGGUGAAAUCCUGGAGCUCAACUCCAGAACUGCCUUCGAUACUGUAGAGCUUGGAGUUCGGGAGAGGUGAGUGGAACUGCGAGUGUAAGAGGUGAAAUUCGUAGAUAUUCGCAAGAACACCAGUGGGCGAAGGCGGCUGCCACUGGACCCGAUACUGGA
rnacentral:rRNA from 1 species